CAGCCGCCGCGGGAAUACGUAGGGCGCAAGCGUUAUCCGGAAUUAUUGGGCGUAAAGGGUGCGUAGGCGGUUUGGCAAGUUUGGUGUGAAAUCUUCGGGCUCAACUCGAAGUCUGCAUCGAAAACUGCCGGGCUCGAGUAUGGGAGAGGUGAGUGGAAUUUCCGGUGUAGCGGUGAAAUGCGUAGAUAUCGGAAGGAACACCUGUGGCGAAAGCGGCUCACUGGACCAUAACUGACGCUGAUGCACGAAAGCUAGGGGAGCAAACAGGAUUAGAUACCCCGGUAGUCCCUGUCUCUUAUAC
rnacentral:rRNA from 1 species